rnacentral:lncRNA from 1 species
CCGUAUUUUUCGAAGUGGUCUUUCAUGGCUUCCUUGGGGGUCUCCCAAGCGAGGCCGCCCACGAAGACUUUGGUGAGAGAGAGAAAAAGAGUAGUUUUAGAGAGAGAGAGAUGACUGAUGGGCCUUUAUUAUUUGGCCCAUUUUCCUUAUAAUUAGGUCCAACAUCAGUCAAGCCCAAUUUUCGUUUUUCUUUUCCUCUUUUUUUUUUUUUUUAAUACAAGUAAAUUCCCAAGUUUUUUAAUAUUGCUUAUGUUUUCCUUGCAGUUAAUAGCGAUGAGAGUUUGGCGAUGACAAUCUUGGGGGGUCAUGUUCAAGACUGGCGUAGUCUCAUUAACCAACUUCAUGGCGGAUUUUGCCCCAAACGAGAUGCUUUGAGUAUUUGCAAAGUUCGGAAUCUAUUGUCAUUUUUCUUUCAGUCUUGACAUCUCCAUCAGCCCGACUAAAGACCAUCCUCAAAGAGUUCAUCCAAAAAUCUGGCAGCAGCCCAUCUAAGACCUUAUUUGAGUGAUGUUUACUUUGCACUUCAGGUGGCUCAAUCGGCUUUUAAUCAGAUUUCGGGUGCGCUCGGAUCUGGGCCCUUGUGAGUCCAACCUUUGAAGAUUGCUGGUUACAUCUUCUCUUUGCGCCCAUUUGAGCAGGCUAGAUGACUCAAUGGUGUUCUAUUAUGUUUGGUGAACGUGUAUUUCCACUCCACGAGCGGAUUCAACUUUAGCUUGGAGAGAAGUGAAUUUGUCGAUGCAUAGCCGACCUCAAUGCCAGAUGACUCAAUUCUUUGACAGGUCUUGGGUGCGCUCAGGCCUGGGAUUGUUUGAAUCUGGUUUGAGUGAGGUUGUUGUUAUGUUUGGCAUCUCACGAAGUUGGGAGAAUUCUGCACAACGGCUCGAGAAGAUUGAGUAUUUUCUUCUUGAUGCUUAAGCCAAGGAGAAUGAAGCCAUCGUCCGAAUUGCUUUGAUCAAGGAAGUGCUUGCUAUGAUAGAGAGGUGGAAGACAGAGAUGACGUUGUCCUUCAAGCAAGAUAGUGCCUCCUUUCAUAUUGUCCGAGGUGCAAUCCCAGAAUUCAAAAGAGAUUUUGACAAACAUAAAGUUGCACAUGUUGAUGAGGAAAUGCUGCGGAAUUUUGAAGACUUCAGAGUCACUUUUGAUCUCUGCUCAGAGAACUUUGGAGGAUCAAGACCCAUUUGCUUAGUAUUGGUGCAAACCGCAGUUUCUAUCAUUUCUCUCUUGAUGAUUCUUAUUUGGUUUGUGAUGGAUAUUUUGACAUCUUCUCCAAAUGCUUGUGCUUCUUUUGAUGGCUUGAUUUUCU